GACGAACGCUGGCGGCGUGCCUAAUACAUGCAAGUCGAACGCUGAAGAGAGGAGCUUGCUCUUCUUGGGUGAGUUGCGAACGGGUGAGUAACGCGUAGGUACCCUGUCUUGUAGCGGGGGAUAACUAUUGGAAACGAUAGUUAAUACCGCAUAACAAUGGACGACAAAUGUUGUUUAUUUGAAAGGGGCAAUUGCUCCACUACAAGAUGGACCCGCGUUGUAUUAGCCAGUAGGUGUGGUAAGGGCUCACCUAGGCGACGAUACGUAACCGACCUGAGAGGGUACGCGGCCUAGCUGGGAUUAGGGCAUGGCCCACAACACUGGGGGAGGGACACGUACGAAAUCUUCGGGGAUGGGAGCAAUCGUGAACGUGGAACGCUGCGCGCGUGCAGAAGCCUUUCGUGUCGUAAAGGUCUGUUGUAAGUCAAGGUCGGGUGUGAGUGUGAAAAGUUCACACUGUGACGGUAGCUUACGAGAAAGCCACGGCUAACUACGUG
rnacentral:rRNA from 1 species